rnacentral:rRNA from 1 species
CGCGUAGGAAUCUGCCUUGAAGCGGGGACAACCCGAGGAAACUCGGGCUAAUACCGCAUAAUCUCGAGAGAGCAAAGCUGGGUGGUAACACCUGGCACUUCAAGAGGAGCCUGCGUCCGAUUAGCUAGUUGGUGGGGUAAAGGCCUACCAAGGCGAUGAUCGGUAGCUGGUCUGAGAGGAUGAUCAGCCACACUGGGACUGAGACACGGCCCAG